rnacentral:lncRNA from 1 species
ACUGCCCCAUUUAUCAGUGAAGAAACAAGAAACAAAGUAUAAGAAUUGAAAACUGUAGAAAGAAAAAAAUGACAGAAGAUUUAUCCUAUCAUAUCAGGUCUACAUACCUGGUACUUCUAGUAGCAAAAAGUAAAGCCCAGCGGCAUGAAGGCCAUAUUCUCGAUACUGCACACUGACAUUCUUCUUAUGAACUAUUUGAACAAAAUGAUAGAACAAUGCCACCAGUGUACUAUGGGAAACAUUGUUCUCAGUGAAGAAGGUCCAGAUACUCUGUGGGGAGACCGCAAAUCACAAAAGCCAGUCAUUAGAGAAAUAGAAACAUUUCCUAUUAUUUGAUUUUUGUAAGUUCUUGGUGCCUUACAAAAAGAGGAAUAGAGUAGCCUGGCUCCUAUUGCUAAAUGUUUACCAUCUUCAAAGGGACUGAAACAAAAUAUCAAAAUUAAAGGUAUAUUAUUCAAAAUUACAAAGAUAAAUAUGUAUAUAACAUAUUUAAAUAAUUAAACUUUCAAAAGAAUUUUUUGUUAAGUUUGUAGCAUAUAUACUUCAGAAAUUAUAGCUUAAAACUACACUAAGACUUUUGGGACACCAUAUAUUAGUGAUUAUUCAGGAAAGUUAUCCCUCUAUUUAUAUUAAAAGGAACUCAAAUUCCUUUACCAAUAAUUACUAACUGAGGAAAUCAGAGCCCUUUAUUUAAAUGUUCUGCAGAUUGCAGGCAAUGGGAGCAGGAAAUGAAAGAGAUCUCGGAAAUAGCCCAGGUAAAGGAGACAAACCCUAGAAAAGAAACCACAAUUGUAUUAAUUCUAUCUUCAUUCCAUGUCUUCUCCUACUAAACACAUGAAGAAGAAAUGGGUUAUUUUAAUAACCUAAACAUAGCAGGAACUAAAUAUGGUUUGUCCUUGAGUAUCAUAACAAAAAAAGGCCCACAAAAUUCAAGUGAGCAGAGCACUCUCCUUUCCUUAACUAAAAAACUUAUGGGAGAAAUCAUCUCCACUGGGCACAUUGGCUCAUGCCUGUAAUCCCAGCACUUUGAGAGGCCAGGGCAGGAGGAUUGCUUGAGCCCAGGAGUUUGAGAACAGCCAGGGCAACAAAGCAAGACCUUGUCUCCACAAAAAAUAAAAAAUUAGCUGGGCGUGGUGGCAUACACCUAUAGUCCCAGCUACUCAGGAGGGUGAGGUAGGAGGCUCAUUUGAGCCCAAUAAGUUGAGGCUGCAGUAAGCUGUGACUGUGCCACUGCAUUCCAGCCUGGGUGACAGAGCAUGUGAGACAGAGUCUUGCUCUGUCGCCCAGGCUGGAGUGCAGUGGCAAUCGUAGCUCACUUUAACCUUGAACUCCUGGGCUCCUCAGCCUCCAGAACAGCUGGAACUACAAGUGUGAGUCACCAUGACAAGCUAAUUAUUAUUACUUUAUUUUAUUUUUGUAGAGACAGGGUCUCGCUAUGUUGUUGCCCAGGCUGGUUGCAAUCUCUUGGCCUCAAGUGAUCCUCCUGCUUCAGCCUCCCAAAGGGCUGGGAUUGUAAGCAUGAGCCCUCACACCCAGCCCAUUUGGUCAUGCUUCUUUCUGACAAUGUUUGCUUUUAUAUCAGAAUGUUUAAAUUGUUUAGCUGAUUACAUUUAGAGUAAUUAUCAAUGUAGCUGGGUUUCUGCCAUUUUUCUAUUUAUUUUCUAUUUCUUUAAACCUGUUUUUUGCUCAAUUUUUUCCUCUUCCUGCCUUGUUUUGGAUUUUAGUAUCCCUUGUCUCUUUUGGUGUAUUAGCUAUACUCUUUUGCAUGUAUGUGUAUGUUUUAUGUGCUUGCUUUGUGUAUGCAGUAGGCACUUCUCACAGUUUAUCUUCAGAUAAUAUUCUCCCAAUUUAUAUAUGAUGUAAGAACAACCUUAAAACAGUGUAUUUUCCUAGGUUGGGUGAGGUGGCUCAUGCCUGUAAUCCCAGCACUUUGGGAGGCUGCUGCCGGCAGGUCGCUUGACGUCAGGAGUUCUAGACCAGCCUGGCCAACAUGGUGAAACCCAUCUCUACCAAAAAAGAAAAAAAAAAAAAAAUGAAAAUUAGCCCAAUGUGGUAACACAUGCUACUCAGGAGGCU